rnacentral:misc_RNA from 1 species
GAUGAAAGAACGUAGUGAAAUGCGAUAAGUAAUGUGAAUUGCAGAAUUCAGUGAAUCAUCGAAUCUUUGAACGCACAUUGCGCCCGCCAGUAUUCUGGCGGGCAUGCCUGUUCGAGCGUCAUUACAACCCUCAGGCCCCCGGGCCUGGCGUUGGGGAUCGGCGGAGCCCCCCGUGGGCACACGCCGUCCCCCAAAUGCAGUGGCGGUCCCGCCGCAGCUUCCAUCGCGUAGUAGCUAACACCUCGCGACUGGAGAGCGGCGCGGCCACGCCGUAAAACACCCAACUCUUCUGAAGUUGACCUCGAAUCAGGUAGGAAUACCCGCUGAACUUAAGCAUAUCAAUAAGCGGAGGA